CAGGGGGGGAUGUUGUCUGAUCAGCAGGAGCUUUACGAUCAGAGCUGGGCCGAAAGUGGGGUGAAGGAAAGGUCGCUGUUUUGGGAAAGUGGGAUCCAAUCCCAGAAGGCUGGCAAAAGUUUUUCUUUGGACGGCAGU
rnacentral:rRNA from 11 species